CAACCCUCAGAACCCCUUGCGGGAUCUGGCGUUGGGGAUUGGCAGCUAGCCAGCCCCUAAAUCUAGUGGCGGUCCCUCCGCGACCUCCCCUGUGCAGUAGCGAUACCUCGCAGCGGGAUAGCAGUCUGACCACGCCGUAAAACCCCCUACUUCUCAA
rnacentral:misc_RNA from 1 species